UACGAGUGGUGCAAACGUUAUUCGGAAUAAUUGGGCGUAAGGGGUGUGUAGACGGCGUAUUAAGUCAACUGUUAAAUUCUCCGGCCUAACCGGAGGCAAGCGGUAGAAACUGGUAUGCUAGAGGGUGGAAGAGAGAAGUGGAAUUCUCGGAGUAGCGGUAAAAUGCGUAGAUCUCGAGAGGAACACCGAUGGCGAAGGCAGCUUCUUAGUCCAUUCCUGACGUUGAAACACGAAAGCGUGGGGAGCAAACAGG
rnacentral:rRNA from 1 species